GAUGAGAACGUAGUGAAAUGCGAUAAGUAAUGUGAAUUGCAGAAUUCAGUGAAUCAUCGAAUCUUUGAACGCACAUUGCGCCCGCCAGUAUUCUGGCGGGCAUGCCUGUUCGAGCGUCAUUUCAACCAUCAAGCCCCCGGCUUGUGUUGGGGACCUGCGGCUGCCGCAGGCCCUGAAAACCAGUGGCGGGCUCGCUAGUCACUCCGAGCGUAGUAAUACAUCUCGCUCAGGGCGUGCUGCGGGUUCCGGCCGUUAAAAAGCCUUAUUUACCCAAGGUUGACCUCGGAUCAGGUAGGAAGACCCGCUGAACUUAAGCAUAUCAAUAAGCGGAGGA
rnacentral:misc_RNA from 1 species